CCUACGGGAGGCAGCAGUGGGGAAUAUUGGACAAUGGGCGGAAGCCUGAUCCAGCCAUGCCGCGUGUGUGAAGAAGGCCUUUUGGUUGUAAAGCACUUUAAGCGAGGAGGAGGCUACUAGUACUAAUACUACUGGAUAGUGGACGUUACUCGCAGAAUAAGCACCGGCUAACUCUGUGCCAGCAGCCGCGGUAAUACAGAGGGUGCGAGCGUUAAUCGGAUUUACUGGGCGUAAAGCGUGCGUAGGCGGCUUUUAAGUCGGAUGUGAAAUCCCCGAGCUUAACUUGGGAAUUGCAUUCGAUACUGGGAAGCUAGAGUAUGGGAGAGGAUGGUAGAAUUCCAGGUGUAGCGGUGAAAUGCGUAGAGAUCUGGAGGAAUACCGAUGGCGAAGGCAGCCAUCUGGCCUAAUACUGACGCUGAGGUACGAAAGCAUGGGGAGCAAACAGGAUUAGAUACCCUGGUAGUCCAUGCCGUAAACGAUGUCUACUAGCCGGUUGGGGUCCUUUAGGAGGUCUUUUAGGUGGCGCGAGCGUAACGACGAGUAAGUAGACCGCCGUGGGAGGUACGGUCGCGAGACGUAAACGUUAAACGUUAGUAGUUAGUACGGACGUUAGAGACGUUAGCCGACGGACGACGACGAGGGAGGAGG
rnacentral:rRNA from 1 species